AUGGUGAAGGACAAGACGGUGGCGCUGGAGCGUGCGAAGAAGGCGACGGGGGUAGCGAAAGGCAAGAAGCAGAACCGCGGGUCGUCAUCACACGUGGGGCUGCCGCCCGGCUGGAUCCAGGGCGAUUGGAUCUGGUCUUUGCUCCGGCAAGAAGAUCUGGACGAGCUGGUGCAGUCCGGGCUGAUCACCAAGGGUGCAGCAAGGCUGCCUGAGGGGGAGAUGGAGCCGCAGCCUCAACCGGGUGAGUGUGUACUGCUCGCCACCCAUGUCGACCGGGGUUUUUCGCUCCCUCCGCACCCCUUCUUCCGGGGCUUCCUGAACUUCUUCGGUGCCCAACUCCACCAUUUUUCUCCCAAUACCAUCAUGUACCUUGCCGCAUUUGUGUCGAUGUGUGAAAACUUUUUGGGGUGUCGACCGCACUGGGGCCUUUUCAAACACAUCUUCACCAUCCGUUCCCAGUCGGUGAAGAAAGCGAAAACAAGUGACUCGAAGACCCAUGUCAUCCAUAUGUGCGGGGGUUUGGGUAUCCAAAAGAGGCAUAGGAGUUCUUUCCCUGCGAUGACUCUCCCUGAAUCAGUUAGAGGUUAG
rnacentral:rRNA from 1 species